rnacentral:rRNA from 1 species
UACGUAGGGUCCAAGCGUUAAUCGGAAUUACUGGGCGUAAAGCGUGCGCAGGCGGCUUUAUAAGCCAGAUGUGAAAUCCCCGGGCUUAACCUGGGAAUGGCAUUUGGGACUGUAAGGCUAGAGUACGGCAGAGGGGACUAGAAUUCCUGGUGUAGCAGUGAAAUGCGUAGAUAUCAGGAGGAAUACCGAUGGCGAAGGCAGGUCCCUGGGUCGAUACUGACGCUCAUGCACGAAAGCGUGGGGAGCAAACAGG